rnacentral:antisense_RNA from 1 species
UUUGAUCGAUCCCAGCCACAACGGACGGUCAGCCCGGCAGCCCUGCCCGUAAGUCGCCAAGAGUGCUUCCACCUC